rnacentral:lncRNA from 1 species
CCCCAUGAUCCAAUCACCUCUCUCCCUCUACGUGUGAGAAUUGCAGGUCCUACCUCAACACGUGGGGACGGAGAUGAGAUUUGAGUAAGGACAAAGAACCAAGCCAUGUCAAUCGUAUUUUGUUAAGUACGAAAACAAGUUACGGAUCGGACCAUCGGUGACCUCCGGUAACUGGAACUGCGGGAAGUGAAACCAUGGAGAAGGGGAGACUGCUGUCACUAACAUAGCAGGGCCAAAUUGUGACAUACCGAGGAUGCCCAUGAGUACCAGAACAACCCAAAAAGAAAAAUAAGGGCUGGACUACAGGAGAGACAGUAUUUGACUCAACCGCUCCUGGCUAAGUUUCCUACCAAUACCUAAUGAGGAAAACAUAGACAAUCAUAUAAGGGCUUGACAGUGUAUUUAUUUAAUAAAUAAGUAACUAUACAGG